GGAGAGGUUGUUAUUCUCCUCCACCUCCUCCCUCGUGCUGACAGGGAGAGGCCAGAUGAUCUGUUGAUUUGACUGCUGUGGUUUCUCCCUCCAAUGAGAGCCAGAUGCGUGUCUAACUGCCUGCCGUGCUCUCCUGUGGGGGGGGUAGCAGAGCCCUCAAGCAGAGGAGUUGACAUGUCCUGUAGAUUCCGCCGGUUUCCCCGUUGUCUCCCUCGCACGCUGGUCUCCGACUGCCACGCCCCCGUUGCUAAGCUGCCUAUAUGCCCCUCUCUAUGCCAUUAGGCCAAUUGUAAAGCCCUCCCCCAUCGCCAGGCCACUUGUAUGCUCCUCCCCCUUCGACAGGUCACUUGUAUGCUCCUCCCCCAUCGCCAGGUCACUUGUAUGCUUCUCCCCCUUCGACAGGUCACUUGUAUGCUUCUCCCCCAUCGCCAGGUCACUUGAAUGCCCUGUCCUGUCACCAGAACACUUAUGAUUUGUUGUACUGUUUGCUUUGUUUGUUCUGUUUAUAGUCAGUCUUCAAAUCCUACAAUUCUGUCCUCUUCCAUAUACAGAAAGCUUUAUGGAAGCUCUGACUUCAUUUGUAAUCAUGGACUGGAUAUGCUUUAUAUUUCCAUUUCAACAUCUCUGGAUAAUUGUGUGGGAAUCCAGACUGGUCUCCCAGUAUCUACCAUAGAUCAUCUUAUACAUGAAAGUGUGAAAUGAAUUAACACUGUACCCUUGCAUAAGAGUCAAUGUCACAUGAAGAGCUAGGCAGAAUAAAUCAAAACCCAAUGUCGGUUUUCAUCUCAUUUCAGACCACUCUUUUCCUCGGGUUUCAUUGCAACAAAAACUGCACACCACAGAGAAGUUGUUCAAAACUAAACAAGAGCCCCUUUUAAGAUGUUAUCUAGUAGCUUUGAUAAGUCAAUAGACUUUUGUUAAUACCUAAUGGAUUAUUUAACCUCAGAGUACAACCAUCUGGAAAGAUCAUUGCGGAAUGUGCUGUCGGUUUAGAGACUGGGUUUGUGGCAAAAAACAUUCAUAAACCUAGCAUUAAAUCAUACCUCAUCUCAUUACCAUCCUUGUUAAGCUUGUCUGGAUAUGAAACGGGUUACUUUAGGGAUAUUGGCAUUUGGUGACAUGACACCAGUAUAAAAAACCCAAGUGAAAUUGUAUGGCAAGGUUCUAGAGUAGUUGGGCUCAGUUCCUGCAGAGGGCGCAC
ensembl:lncRNA